rnacentral:lncRNA from 1 species
GGAAAUAAGAGAAGAAACUGAAAACUAUCAUGGAAGUUACCUGGGCCGCCUGUUGAGCCAGGAAAAGAAAAAUGCAAAUGAUCCUACCCACUGGGCCAGGCAACAAGCACGUAUACAUGGACCAUGGACCCGCCCGCCAGUGUGCGACGUGAGCGGGCCGCUUAACUGUCGGAAGGAAACAUCUGUGAAGCCCAAGAAGAAUCCUAUUACGGGUCCGAUAGUCCAGUCUAAUACUGUUCGCCACCGAGAGAAUGCCAGGCCGGGCUAGCGAGCGGUCACAGUGUGAUAUGGGCCGGCCCGAUUGAAGCUCGUUACUGGCAUGCAUCAUCUCAUGCAUUUCAUUUUGAGAUGGAGAUUAUUGAUGGGUCCGCAUGAUUGGAUGCGUACGGUGGACAGCUCCAAUACGUGCCACAGCUGAGGACACCAAUCUGCUGGGGGCACUGGAACGCUUGGCUUUGUGAGUGCACUGAAUCAGCUCGAUCAGUCUGACUCGUUAACCUGUAUACUGAAUCAGCUGCUCGAUCUGUAUUGGCAGUGAUCAAUCGUUAGUGAAUGAACAUGCAUUAUUAUUUAGUGGGUUGAAAGGAGGUAAUGGAUUUCUUCCUUGAUUAGUCUUGUAGACCUAUACCUUAACUAAGAUCUCCAUCGC